GUGACGGGGACUCCUCGGGAGGAGGAGAUGUGUGGGAUCCUGCACUCCCCACACUUGGGGCUCUGAGCCCCCAGUUGGGAAGAAGCCUGACUCUUGUUGAGUGAGUCUGUGGACCGGGCACCACGAUGGGCAGUGUGCGUGCACGUCACUUAGUCCCUGCUUAACCCGUGAGGCAGGAGCUGUCAUCGACCCCUUUCAUGGAUGGAACAGCUAAGGCCAAGAGAUAUGAAGUGACUUGUUCAAGGUAACAGCAACGAAAAGGCAACACCACUGUCCGAACCCAAACCAUCUGGCUGCAAACCACAGCUUCGGAGUCCUGGGGGCCCUUGUGAAAUAUGUUUGUUGGGUAGCCCCAGCUUUCUGAUCAAUUAAAUAGCCAGGCACUCACCCCCCUAGCUUGAUACAUUCUAAAAUACCUCUCCCUCCCUUCCCUGCUCCUAUGACUUAAAUGGCAAAGCUCUGGCAAAGAACUGAGCGUGGGAAAGAUGAGAGCAGAGAGUUAGCCACAGGGCAGGGCUUCGUAUCCCAAGCCCACAGUUGUACUUUCUGGUUUGGGAGGGGAGUACUGGCCAUCCCCCAGCAGACCCACUGCAGCUGAGGCCAUCGAGAUGGGUACAGAUGUGUAGUGGUAUGUCACCAUACACAUGGACAUACACGCACGUGACUGUGAUGAGCAUUUUGCUCACCGUCCCACAGAGAUCCACUCUGAGGCCUGCUGCUGCCUGGCAAGCAGGGCCCCCUGGCUCUGAGGGCCAUUCUGGGGCAUUGAAGGGACGCACACUAGAGCCAGCUGUGCUUACCGGCGGAGGCAGCCCCUGUAACCUGUGUUGUCCACCCAAAGGCCACCAUCACCCAUGAGAACAGGGUGCCUACUGUGCACAUGCAACUCCAAACAGACUCCCCAGGUGCCUCCCAGGCCCCCACAACAGUGUGGCCAGCCCUCAGUCCCUCCUUAGGAUGCCCUGGCCCCUGCUGACCUGCCUGGGUUGCCCUCUGUGCUCACUUCUGAGUAUAGCCGGCCCAGCCUGAGAGGGACGGGAUGCUCUGUGGGAGAGAUGCGGUGGGGAGGAGCUCUUGACCAGAGCUGGAGACACUGCAUGCCAAGGCUGGGGCUGUGAGCCUGCUCCCUGGCCUCUGGGAGAAGCUUAGAGCAGGACUCAGGGGCCUGUUCUGUGGGCCGCUGCAGGCCCCGAGACUGGCCACCUUGAGGGCAACAUCUGCAGUGCUGGCUCCUCCAGCACCUCCGUCCACUGGAGACUCAUGAAAGGCUCCUGUGAGGCCUCCCUGGCUCGGACCUCUCCAUGGCCGGCCUCAGCCCUGGCCUUAAUGAUAGUCCUACUGCAAGUGGCUGUCCUUUCUGGGAAUGAGUGAGAUCCUUGCCAAGGCUCAGGAGGCCACACAGAACAAAGGGACUGUUUCUGGGGGUUCUUCAGCUGGGUGUGCCGUGACCAUGGCCAUUGGCGCCAAGAUGCAAGUCUUGGGGACAGGGUGGACCUGGUUCCCACCCACAGCCUCUUCCCUCAGGAAUCUGUGCUCUCCCUGUGAUUUGGGCAAUCACUUUGCUCUGUGUUCUCACCUGGAUGACGGGGUGCUGGCCUAGGCACCAUCCAAGGUUCCUUCCCUCUGUAACUCACUUUGACCUCCUGACUGCAAUAAGUAUGACUGGACACUAUAGGAGGAGGCAUCUCUGGCCUUUGGAUCCAGGGGUAUAGGGAGGGUGACGGGCAGUGGUCCUGGGGUCAGCACUUGGCAUUAUGCCCAUGUUCUCAUUGGCUCCUCUUACCAACCACUGAUUCAAAAGCCAGACAAGGCUCAGCAAGGCUAAGCGACUCACACAGUCUCAGCGCUGGUGAGAGGCAGAGUUGGCUCAAGCGCAUCUGCUGGCUGCAAGCCCAGCCUCCCCACGCUGCAAGCAAGAGGAGCAGGUGCCACUCAGUGAGCGGCAUAUUUUGGUCUCAGUCCCGGAAGAGCAGGGUGGGCUGGUCCCUAGGGGCUGGACCAUGGAAUUAAGGGCUCCGGGGAUCCCCUGGGGCCGUGGUUCCUAUGCCUGGCUCACACUGAGUGGCCUGAGCAGCUUUGGACAAUGACGAUGCCCAGGACCCAGCCCAGCCCUCCUCCAUCAGAGCCUCUGGGCGUCAGGCUGCCCAAGGUGCAGGCUCUGAUGGGGAAGAAACUGGUGCCCUCAUGGGGACCUCAGGUAGCCAGAUGUGGCCUGAGGAGUCUGUCCUGUGGCCUCCUCUGUCCUCAAGGUUAGGCUCCAGCUGGGGAGGAGUGAUUCACUCUUGUAAAUUACAGGGAGGCUCCAGGGAGGUAGAUGCUCCCAGCCUGAUGACUGGCAGCAAUUCUGGGGCCCUUACCUAGGUUCUCCCUGCCACUGCGGACUCCGGGAGCUCUCCAUGGUGACCUAGGAACUCCCCUGGGUGCUUAUGCUCUGCCGAGAGCUGCUCUGUUGCACACUCAUUCAACAAACAUUUAUUUAGUGCCUGUCACAUGGGCUCAGAGUCAGCUUUUUGGGUUCUGAACCCAGCCAGGGCCACUUCCCGUGGCCUUGGGCCAUGGCUUAACGCUGAGCCUCAGCCUCAGAAGUGCCGGCCUUGUGGAGGAUCGAUGCCAUUGGGCCAGUGCUCAGCUAGGGCUGAGGAAGCGUUGGCCGCUGCUGGCUGUAGCAUGGGGAGCCCAGAGGGCUGGAGGUGCCCCAGGCUUGGUGGGCCCAGGGUGCAGAUUGACAGGAAAGGGACAGUGGUGUGCCCUGAGCAGAUAGCAGGGAUGGUGGCUGCAGGGCGGGUUGGGGAACAUGGGAGGCUGGGAGCUGAGGCUGCUGGGCACUCACGAUCUCUCCUUUCUCCUCAGUACGGCAAGAAGAAGCUGAAAUACCUGCCCUACAAUCACCAGCACGAAUACUUCUUCCUGAUUGGGCCGCCGCUGCUCAUCCCCAUGUAUUUCCAGUACCAGAUCAUCAUGACCAUGAUAGUCCAUAAGAACUGGGUGGACCUGGCCUGGGCCAUCAGCUACUACAUCCGAUUCUUCAUCACCUACAUCCCUUUCUACGGCAUCCUGGGAGCCCUCCUUUUCCUCAACUUCAUCAGGUUCCUGGAGAGCCACUGGUUUGUGUGGGUCACGCAGAUGAAUCACAUCGUCAUGGAGAUUGACCAGGAGGCCUACCGCGACUGGUUCAGUAGCCAGCUGACAGCCACCUGCAAUGUGGAGCAGUCCUUCUUCAACGACUGGUUCAGUGGACACCUUAACUUCCAGAUUGAGCACCACCUCUUCCCCACCAUGCCCCGGCACAACUUACACAAGAUCGCCCCGCUGGUGAAGUCUCUAUGUGCCAAGCAUGGCAUUGAAUACCAGGAGAAGCCGCUACUGAGGGCCCUGCUGGACAUCAUCAGGUCCCUGAAGAAGUCUGGGAAGCUGUGGCUGGAUGCCUACCUUCACAAAUGAAGCCACAGCCCCCGGGACACCGUGGGGAAGGGGUGCAGGUGGGGUGAUGGCCAGAGGAAUGAUGGGCUUUUGUUCUGAGGGGUGUCCGAGAGGCUGGUGUAUGCACCGCUCACGGACCCCAUGUUGGAUCUUUCUCCCUUUCCCCUCUCCUUUUUCCCUUCACCUCUCCCCCAUAGCACCCUGCUCUCAUGGGGCCUGCCCUCCCUCAGCCAUCAGCCAUCAGCCAUGGCCCUCCCAGUGCCUCCCAGCCCCUUCUUCCAAGGAGCAGAGAGGUGGCCACCGGGGGUGGCUCUGUCCUACCUCCACUCUCUGCCCCUAAAGGUGGGAGGAGACCAGCGGUCCAUGGGUCUGGCCUGUGAGUCUCCCCUUGCAGCCUGGUCACUAGGCCUCACCCCGCUUUGGUUCUUCAGAUGCUCUUGGGGUUCGUAGGGGCAGGUCCUAGUCAGGCAGGGCCCCUGACCCUCCCGGCCUGGCUUUGCUCUCCCUGACGGCCACCAUUGGUCCGCCCUUUCGUAGAGAGGCCUGCUUUGUUACAAAGCUCAGGUCUCCGCCCCGCAGCUGGGAUCAGUACCCGAGGCCUCUGUUAAGAUGUCCAGGGCCCUGGGCCUGCGGGCACAGCCAGCCCAAACCUUGGGCCCUGGAAGAGUCCUCCACCCCAUCACUAGAGUGCUCUGACCCUGGGCUUUCACGGGCCCCAUUCCACCGCCUCCCCAACUUGAGCCUGUGACCUUGGGACCAAAGGGGGAGUCCCUCAUCUCUUGUGGCUCAGCAGAGGCAGUGGCCACGUUCAGGGAGGGGCCAGCUGGCCUGGAGGCUCAGCUCACCCCCCAGCUUUUCCUCGGGGUGUCCUGAGGUCCAAGAUUCUGGAGCAAUCCGACCCUUCUCCAAAUGCUCUGUUAUCAGCUGGGCAGUGCCAGCCAAUCCCUGGCCAUUUGGCCCCAGGGGACGUGGGCCCUGCAGGCUGCAGGAGGGCACUGGAGCUGGGAGGUCUCGUCCCAGCCCUCCCCAUCUUGGGGCUGCUGUGUGGACGGCGCUGCCUCAGGCACUCUCCUGUCUGUACCUGCCCUUACUGUGUUUAACCUUUUGCUCCAGGAUGCAUUGUGAUAGGAGUGGGCGGCAGGGCUGGGCCUUGUGACAAUCUGCCUUUCACCACAUGGCCUUGCCUCGGUGGCCCUGACUGUCAGGGAGGGUCAGGGAGGCAGAGCGGGAGGGAGUCUCAGGAGGAGGCUGCCCUGAGGGGCUGGGGAGGGGGGUACCUCAUGAGGACCAGGGUGGAGCUGAGAAGAGGAGGAGGUGGGGGCUGGAGGUGCUGGUAGCUGAGGGGACGGGCAAGUGAGAGGGGAGGGAGGGAAGUCCUGGGGGGAUCCUGAGCUGCUGUUGCAGUCUAACCAACUAAUCAGUUCUUAGAUUCAGAGGAGGGGCGGGCACCAACAACUCAGAAUGGGGGCUUUUGGGGAGGGCGCCUAGUCCCCCCAGCUCUAAGCAGCCAGGAGGGACCUGCAUCUAAGCGUCUGGGUUGCCAUGGCAAUGGCAUGCCCCCCAGCUACUGUAUGCCCCUCACCCCUGCAGAGGCAGAAUGAGCCCAUAGGGAGCUGAUCGUAAUGUUUAUCAUGUUGCUUCCCCACCCCUACAUUUUUUGAAAUAAAAUAAGGAAUUUU
rnacentral:sRNA from 1 species